rnacentral:lncRNA from 1 species
GCUCCAGAGGCGGGUGCGCCGGGGCCAGGCUGCAGCCAGUCAGAGGCCACGGGGUGGGAGCUGCCUGCCGGAGGAGCGCGCGGGGAGCUGGGCCGCGCUGCGGGAGCCGCCCGGAACCAUGAAAGCCGCCUGUCUCUUCCUGCUGGCGUCCCUGCUGUGCUCCAGGCGGGCCCUGAGCCUGCAGUGCUACAACUGCGAUGCCAACAAGGAAGCCAGCCAGUGCAAGGUCUCCUCGUGCGGCGGGGUCUGCUUUAAGGGCGACGUGGUCCUGACGGUGAAAGGCAGCGGCGAGAAGGUUACCAUGGGAUUCAAGAGCUGUGCUCCCUCCUGCGAGGACGCCUCAAAGACCCUACAGUUGUUCCGGCCGGAGGGUCUGCCCGGGUUCCCCGGGGGUGUGGAGAGCGUUGUGAAUUCGGAGGUGAAGAACCUGGCCUGCUGCGAGAAGGACCUUUGCAACGGGGCAGCCAGGGCCGGGCGCAGCCUCGCGGCGCUGGCCGGGGGGCUCCUGCUCAGCUUGGGGCCCCUCCUCUUGGCGCUGCUGUGAGGACCCUCCUGCUACUCAGGCACCACGGGCUCCUCCAGAAGCUUGAAAGGGGCCUCGCCACGGUCAUGAAUUCCACCCGGGACGCACAGUCGUAGUGACCUCACACUAGCUCUCUCUUGCAUGCACGCACACUGGCACAUGCCCAUGCGUGCGCACACACACGGGGUGCCCACGGUGCCCACAGCCUCAGACCCUAGAGUGCUCAGCAAACACAGGCUGUGCUGGAGUUCAUUCCGCUCUGCCGCCCAGCGCGGGCAGGGGAGGGGCGGGCAGUCCAGGCCGCUGUGCUGACCCCAGCCGCUGCUGCCACCCACCUGCCCAGUGCCCUGCCACCUGCCAACAAGCGCGCCAAUCCCGCAGGGCCGUCAGUUAAUCACUGACCCAAGAUCCAGGGCCCACAAGACCUGGCUGGACAGGGGCCUCUCGGAGAGCCCCACCUCCGGCCCUUCCAGCCCAGCUCCUGGCAACAGCACCGCAGGCAGGGCAACAGAAAAUAAACGCUUUCCAGCAGCGGCUUCCUGCUCUGUGAAUGUCUUUCCGGUCGAACAGGGGUGGGAGAGGGGGCAGUGGAAGUGGUGGGGUGGGGAGUGCAAGGGUCUUCACCUGUGGCUUCAACCAGCUUUUCCUUCAGCCAGACAAUCCCGAACGGCUAAUUCUUGGGGACAGAAAGGAAGGCUAAGCGCAUGGCCAGUGCCAGGACCCAGUCUGGGAGGUGGCCCAACUCCUCCCACCAGGAAGCAGCCUCUUCCUCUACGCAUGCUCUCUGCAGUGCCUCCCAGGAGCCCCACCCAGCACCUCCACAGGCCAGGCAUCCAUCUAGGUCCCUCCAGGUGGUGGCUGGAGUGCCAGGAGCCCCCUCAACAGAGGCAGGUGCCAGCCCAGGAGGGGUCUCUGGCCUGGUUCCCUCCCUCAUCCUCCUUCACACUUUCUUCCCUCCAAGCCUCUGCCCUGUGGCCCACACUCUGGGUCUAGAAACUCCCCCAGCCCACAGGAGCCCACUCCUCCCUGUAGGACAGGGGUGACCAGAGCAUUACCUCCUGAGCCCCUUCCCACAGCACCUUCCUAGGGAGAAGAGCCCCCUCCCUUCCCUCCUUAUGGCCUCUUGCCCUUCUAACCCCUGAAUGUGGCCCCAAAAGCCCCAAGGGAUCACCAGAGGUGGGGUCUGUAGGUCCUUGGAGACCAGGGAGGGGCAUUCCCUUUACAGAUGGGGAAACUGAGCCCUGUCCUCGGGCUGAUGGUAUGUGACCACUGACCACUGCGCAUCCAAGUUAACUUUCCUCAGCCAGAGACACACAUCCCACGCCAACCGCGGCAGGUCGGGACGAACGAAACCACCAGAGCAAGGGUAGCUGUCUCCCCAGGCAGUGGCUGGGAGGCGGGCACAGAGCCUGUGAGGUGGUGGGGGCUGUGAGGGGGCACAGCUCCCAGGGUGGGGGCCUUGGCGGUAGGAGUGGCUGGUCCCAGGCUGGGUUGUGACCCAAACUCCUCUGGGCCUAGCCUGUGCUUCCAGGCUCUGCCCUGCCCUGCCCAUGAGGAGUCCGAGGAGCAAGGAGGCUGGGGCUGGAGCCUCAGGGUUGUGGGCACCCAGGCCCAGGAGCCUCCCGAGGACAAGGAGCCCCUGCUGUCAUCCCUGCGCCAAGGCCCCCUGGGAUGCAGGAGAAGGCCCGGCCAUCCUGUUUCUAGUUCUCUCCAGGGUCUCCUGGUGGUUCUGAGGAAGAGCAGCCGGGUCCUAGGGGACCACCCAUGCCGGAUCCUGCUUUCCCGCCCAGUAGUUUCCAUGUCCAGCCCUGAUACUUUUAAGAAAACCAAAACAGCACUUUGGCAGGCUGAGGUAGGUGGCUCACCUAAGGUCAGGAGUUCGAGACCAGCCUGGCCAUCAUAGUGAAAUCCCAUCUCUACUAAAAAGAAAAUACAAAAGUUAGCCAGGCAUGGUGGCGCAUAUCUGUAAUCUCAGCUACUCUGGAGGCCAAGGCAGGAGAAUCACUUGAAUCCAGGAGGCAGAGGUUUUAGUGAGUAAGGUCGCACCACGACAGAGUGAGCCUCUGUCUUGGGAAAAAAAGAAAGACAAGAAAACCAAAACAGACAGUUUCCAAAACCCAACCCCACAGGCCAAGCACUAGAUUUCUCACAUUUCUGAAGGUGGUGCCUGCCUGAACCACCUCUGUGGGGAGCAGCCCUCAGUGGGCCUGAUCCAGCCAGGGCACCCCCUUAUGCCACAGCACUCCCCAUGCCAUGGAACUCCCCGUAUGCCACGGCACCCCCAUCCCACCGCACCCCCUAUGCCACGGCACUCCCCCAUGCCAGGUCACUCCCCUAUGCCACGGCACUCCCCCUAUGCCAUGGCACUCCCUGUAUGCCGGGGCACUCCCCUGUGCCAGGGCACUCAUCCUAUGUGCAGAAGGACACCAGAGAGCCAAGGCCACCAGGACCUCUCAGACCAGGAGCAACUAACUGGCAGUUCUAUCUGCAGACAUGGGGUUCUGCAGUAGUGCAUGUGGAGCAUGUGCUGUGUGUGGUC